rfam:Theobroma cacao cultivar Matina 1-6 chromosome 1, whole genome shotgun sequence.
CCAACGGAUUUUUUCCAUUGAAAAAUUUUCGUUGGAAAUUCGUUGAAAAUCCAUCGAAAAUAACAUUAAAAAUUUUU